rnacentral:misc_RNA from 1 species
AAUCAUCAACCUCCCCGGUUUGCACUGGGUUCUUGGUUGGAGUUGGGGGUCUUUGCUGCCGAAAGGCGGCUCCCCUUGAAUGCGUCGGUUGGGUUCCUUAGGCUUUUGCGUCGAAAUGGGGCGUUGUAUCAUCCUCGCUCUCGCUAGACUGCGGCUUAGGUGUCGUUCCCUUCCUAGACUUAGCCUUUGGAGUGGCGGUCAAACACAAAUCGAAUU